GAGAGUUGAUUCACAUGUGAUAUGAAGUUGUAAAGUUGAGAAUAGCUUGAAGUUGUAUUCGACCUGGGGCCCUUCCAAGUUCCAAAGAAAAGCCUCGACAUUCCAUCAGAAUUUUAGGUGAAAGAACUUCGGAUUAUAUUAAGUCAAGAUACCAAUUUUUCCAUUACAUUGAAGGAUCCUGAAUUUACAUUAGAGAUGUGAGCCAAAACAGAUGGCAAACGCGGGGGGUGAGAGCUAGACAAGAGCACCACCUUUAAGAUAUUCAGUGAAGGCGAGUGCAACCAGACCCAACAUGGCAAACCUCCCAUUCCACAUCUCCGCAUCAGAAGUCAUCAACCCCUUCGAUUUGGACUCCACGCUCACACCUUUGAACAAGGGAAUCAGAGAAGCCAGUGAGAGUACAACAGCGGUUCCCAGGAACCAUGGAAUCCCACCGUUGGAUAUCUGAGCAAACACAUCCUCACCCUUCCAUAUUUCCGCACCCAUUGCCGCAACAAAGCCUACCAUG
rnacentral:lncRNA from 1 species